CUUUGUACACCCACCCCAAGGGGGACCCAGUGUCUCCCUGUGCCUUGCUGUGGCACGAGGUGAUGCGCUCCCCCAGUUCUAAACUGCAGCUGUGCUCAGGUCUCAUUUAUCCAAUGUUAGAGUACAUGUGUGACUAUACUGUCAUCUCCUGGAAACGAGAGUCAAAAUGUGCAUUUUUUCAUGUUUAUUCUGCCCAAGUGUGAGCUUAAUCUACAGCUGCUGAGUUACGCUGUGCAUGGAAGCUUUAUCUGCGUGUUGUUCCUGGCUUGACCUUGAACCAGAAGCAUUCCAGUGUUAUAGUUCUCUUGGUUGCUGAUAACUCUUUGUUCCUGAUUUCUUUGCUCAGGGUGUUUGUUCCAUGCUGGUUGCUUCUCUCUAAAUUCCUUGAAAAUGAAUGUUGCAAUGUGUGUCUCACGAAACUCCAAAUUAACAGUGCAGGUAAUUAAAAAUAACAGCCAAGCUACAAGAAUGCAGCUCCAUAGCAGCAGCAACACCCUGAGCCGUGCCUACCUUUGUGUGUGUGACUGGAAGAGGGCUCUGUCUGUAGCACAGGUUUGGAACACCAAGAGGUCAAACCAGCACUUUUUCUUUCACAUCUCUGAAUGUGUUUCUUUAUCACCUGAUGCUGAUAGAUGACACAGUCUCAGUUCACCUGGCAGUCAAGCUGAAGUAACAUUUUUAUUGCCCUUUAAAGACUUGGUGUUGUUACACGUAAGAAAUUUACAUUAUUAAUGUAAAUUCAACCUCGUCUUUUUUUUUUUUAACAGCAAUGUCUGCGUGGUUUCCAUGUGCUUCCAUGCACAAAGUCCAGAAAAGCAACCCGUAACAUGCAGGAGGGGAACGCUGAACUUCCAAAACAUUUCUUAUACAGAUCAAAGUGUAUUUAUUAUAUAGACUCCUUAUAAAUCUGUAUGUAUGAACCAAAUGCAGUCCUAGUGAAAUGAACCGGUAGAAAUAAGGUGUUAUGAUUAAACAUCUCUACAGUGAAAUGUGAAAUGGGGUAAACGUUCACCUAGAACGUCACACUGGACUUUGAGCAGGAGUUUCUCAUACAGCAGAAAUCCUGCCUCAGCUGUAAGGCAUGGUGGGGGAAGGAGGAGACAGAAAUGCCUUUGCUGCUCUGCUUAGUUUGGCCUGUAAAAUAGCAAAAGGUGUUUAUUCUACAUUGGUGUGCAGUGUGAGUUCAGGUUCUGUUAAUGCCACGUAGCUCACAGAUUGCAUGCAGCCCUAAGAAAUGAAAGGAUCUGAUUACAGAACUGGUCUUUAUUGUCUACAGUUGAUACAAAACGUCUGUUGCAGAAAUUACUUCCCCAGGUAAGAAAAUGAGCACUCAGUGAUACAUCGGUAACAACGAAGUAAGGAAGUUGAGAAUUACUUCUUCACCUAAAUUUAAUGGUUUAUUUCAUAGUUCCACUGAUGAAAUUUUCCAUUUGCUUCAAUGAUUAGCCACGACUCCCAUCCUUCUGGUACAUAUACAGAAGUGUCAGGCUCAGCACGUACAGCCACAAACCAAAGGAACGCUUUACAUAUGACAGGUUGCUUUUAUAGUGAUCACGCACUGAUGUGAACAUAGACUAAAAAUAACAAAUGUUGCUUUAAUAAGGAUUUUUUUUUACAGUAGGCGUAAAUAUAAAAGUGUUUCAAAUUAUUUUCACAGGUAUCACUGAACAUUUCAUAGCUGUCUGUUACAGAAGCACCUAAAAGUGCUUUGAGUCUUUCAUUUAUUAUACAUAGUUAAAAUAUAUUACACUUCUGAAGGUAUCUUAGAUCACUGAACAGUUGCUAGCAUCUUGAUGAGCCCAAUGGGAGUAAAAGGCAGUCCACAUUCAUGAUGUGAAUAUACAGUAAGGUGUUUGAUGUCCUGUUAAGUCAUUGCUCAUGUUCUCAAAAUAACCAUGGUGAUGAGACCUGAAAGAAAGGAUUAAGAACUGAAGUGCUUGAAUUUUUCAAGAUAGAGAAGACAGUUAUCAUUUCACAGGGCAGAAAAUAAAGCAGAAGUAAUGCAUGCAGAAGGAGCUCAUGUAGACCCCUUCCAUAAAUACUAGAAGUAUUGCUCCAAAUUCUGAUGUAGAUACAAACCAGUGUGUUACAUCAUAGUGAAGUGUUAGUAGCUAAAUCUCAAAGAAGCUACAACUGCUCUGUACAACUAUCCAACUGACUGCUGGAAAAUCUCAUCCAUGUCAAAAUCUCAAUGCUUACAUGGGCAUGGAAGCCAUUGGUUUUGCUGUGCAAUAGUUAUGGGCAGCGUAAUUCAAAUUACUGCUGAGUCAGCAGUAAGGCAGGUUAGCUAAAAGCUAGAUGAUGAUUUUUAUUCAUUUCUCUGCAGAAUAACACUUGUCUGAAACUAACCUUUGAUCAAUCUGCAUAGGGAGCUUUCUGCAGCCUCUGUGACCUUUAAGAAGGGAGGAAAAAAAGUCUGCUCUGACAGAGGCCUAAAAAGCCCCAAACAAUUAAAAACAGGCUCCAGGGAUGAAAGCAGAAAAUAGAAGGUUAGAAAACCUACUACUGCCACACUGAAAAACUCACUGCCAUCAUGUGUUGAUAAAAGAAAAUGGUUCAUAGCCAUGAGUUUAUUUAGUACAGGACAAAGAGGCAUAUGGAAAAAACAUACAGGCCUUCUGCAACAUCAAAAUAGUAAUUCAUCAGUUCUUAGGCAAUCUUAUGUCAGGCUUGGACUACAUUCCUGUAACAGCCUUUCACAGCAGAGAUCUUACAGCCUACAGAUCUCGCCAGACAAAGAAAUUGCUGAGACUCUUCAACUAUGUUGCCUCUAUGUAACUCAUUUACUUCAUAAAGAUUUUAAAGAUAAAAGCAGAACAGAACAGAAUUGUAAUGCUGCCUUCUAUUAGACAAGCAUUUCAUCCCAUUAAAGAGGAAUUAUAGUUCAGCUAUUUGUUAAGGUCUGCAUUAGCUCAGACAAUCCCCGCUAUCAGAACUGCUGUAGGCCCUAAUUUAGAUUAUUUAAAUCAUUGCAGAAUAACAAGCUUCUAGAAGGUGCUAUGGAACAACCUGCACCACGUGUAUGGGUUUAACUCAUUUCUGUAAAGCAAAUUCUUCUCAAAUGUCAUGUAGUCUUAUUGGCAUGGCAUAAAUCUCCCUUUUCAAUGAAAAACUGAACAAUCCAGUGGUACUUCAUUGUGGAAGACAGUGUUUGCACCUUCUUAAAGGCUAUCUACUUGUGUUGUAGAUAAGUGCUGUACCCAGAGGAGCCUCUUCAUGAGCAGUAAGAACCCUGCCACCAGUAGAAUCAAGACCUGUAGGAACUUCACAACGCAUCUACAAACAGGUAGGUUGUUGCAAAUAUAUGAAUUCACAUGGUUUAAUACCAUAGUUGUCACCAGCAGAAAUUGGAGCUAUUUUCAAAACUAGAGGUAAAAAUAAAACCAGGAUUACUGCAAGAUUAGAAUCUGAAAAUGCAUUGUUAUCAGCUCAGAUAAAGAUGUAGGCUUCUGGUUAGCAACAGGUGAGAUUUAAAAGCCUUUCAGCAGACUAGCUUGCCAAAGUCGGUCACUAAACUGUGUGCAUUUAAUUAACAAGAUCUUGCAUCCUUUCCCACCACUACCUCACCUCUAGCUAUCAGUUUGAAGCUGCCUAGCUCUUUGCUUUAGAUUCUCAUUUCUGCCAGGUAGUGGGAUGGGAGAACUGAGUUAAGUGUGAGUGCUCUUCCAAUCUGAAAUAGCUACAGAAAAACAGUCAAAUCAAACGAAGCCUGCAACUUAUCUAUGCUUCCUAAUUUAGGAGCAAGUUAGCAAUCAGGAAGAGUUGUGGAUGGCAGUGAUUUCUUAGUAAGCAGUAAUUUAUUUUUGAACAUUUCAACUGUUUACCAAGACAACAGUGAGCAGAGCCUUUCAGAUCAGCUCAUUUGGCUUGAGGAAAGAAACAGAACCAGAAGAGCUCUAGGUUCUGCAACAGACUAACUCUGUAUUUCAGUGUAAGAAACAGUAGAACAUUCCACUCAGUUUUAUUGGCGGAUGAUGAUAGGCAUUAAUAAUUUCACCAGUCAUCAAAUGAAGGCAAAAUUAGCAUGUAGGGGCCUGGAUAUAAUAUUGACUAGAAUCUGGUCUAAACAUUUUUUUUAAUAAUCAAUUUUCCCUCAUAUAUCAUUCUGGCUGUAACUUAGAAUAAAAGUGGGGAUGGAAAAGAAACUGUAAGGCAGUUCUUUGUCUCCAAGUUUCCUGAAGCUGCUGACAAACAGCUGAGAAGUUUCCCCAAUCACAAAAGCUGCACUAAAACACAAGAUCCAGAAUACUUACCUAAAACAUAAGCAGCAACUAACUUUUGAUUCACACUUAAAUGGAGGUAGAGAGGCACCAGGGAUUCCAUUUCCCCCAACGUAGGUAGCAUUAGCGCUGCAAUACACACUAUUCCCAGGAAGACAGUUAGUAAACUAGGUCCCGAUGAGGCAGGUCUGUUUUCUGGUUGACACAAAGUCUGCUCGAAAAAGACACUUUCAGACAGGUGUUCUUUUAUUCGCUUUUCCUCCUCUUCCUUUUGUUGUGGUGGUUCCUUUGCAGAUGGAAGCAGAGUAGCAAUAAUCUCCUUUCUCCCUAGUGCUUUCCUCUGGCUUUGCUCAGACACUUGCAGACGGAAUUUAUCUAUCACACCAUAGUGAGAAGCACGAACAUCUCUGUGACGAAUCACACUGCAGAGUAAAAAAAUGUCAAACAGAGCAGCUAGUAAAAAUGUCUCCUGUGGAAUCAUGCCCUGCAAUGCCCAAUGUUUCCCCUGUUUUCCCCACACAGAUAAAUUGCAAUAGUUCACAUCCCCAUUCCAUUCUUAAUUACUCAAUGUUCUUGAAGAUUUGAUCUUGCCUCAUCUCUCUCCUCCCCGUGUUUGCUGCACCAUGAUAGGGUAUUCUAGUUCCUAAAUAUAUCUGCUCCAAUUGACUGGCCAAAAAGAACAGUUAUUCUUUCUCAGAACACACCAUUAGGGACCUGUCUGCCAAUUUUCACAAAAUAUCAGUUAUCUGAAAGAUGCCUCCUCUUAAAACAGUUUUGCUAUAUGCUGUUCAAUAUAUCAAAAGGUAGAGAGGGAUGUGGGGUUGGUAGGGAAGAAAAGGACUGCCAGACACUUGGACAGACAAGGUGAUGGCAGAAGUCUCUUCAGGAAAACAGGCUCAAAGCUUCAAAAUUAUCUUUUCUCAGAAGCAAAACAUUCUCUCUAUGGGUAAGAGUCAGCUAGCUUUAAAGAUUUUCACAAUCAGAAACUCACCAGUUUAAGGCAUGUAAUUGCAGUAAAAUUACCACUGUGUACUUAUAUAAACGUUUCCCACCUUUCAGUGAGCAAGCUUGGCCCUCAAAAGUAGAGCUCUGCGCUGUCAAAGCUUUGCUGAGCAGUCUUGCUACCUUGAGCAUAUUCUGCAGCCUGAACUGAAAUACUGCAGAUACUUGACCAGCUAGCAAGAGCUUGACCUGGUGUUAUCUACACAAGCUGCAAUCAUAACCCUAACUGCAGCAUAGGCAUACACUGAGCCAUGCCUGGAAUCCACUUUUUCCCCUCACAAACUUUUGUACUGUCCAGCAACCACUGUGAAGUCUGAUGUUUUGAACAAGUUGACCAAGAUAGCUUUAAAAUUAAGGCACUGUGAUAGCUGUUACAUUACUUCUAGUUUUAUGGUAUUUAAUGUGAAAAAAAAUCAUAUGCAGGACAUGUAAAAGGCACAGUUUAAAAAUAACACUGAUCAAAGGCAAUACAGACCUUUGCACACUGCUCUGCUCACCUGCCUCCUCUCUGCAUUUAUGAUUCAUUAUGAAAAUACCCAUCUAGCACUAAAAAAAGAAAACAUUCAGGUUUUUAAGUCAUAUCAGCUCUUAGAGUUAAAACAAAGUGUAUUUUUCUGGAGUGGAAGAUUGUUGUUGUUGUUGUUCUUCUUCUUUAUGGGAGGCUUCUCUAAAUUUCUAAGAUAAUAAUAGCUAACCUGAAAAAAC
rnacentral:lncRNA from 1 species